UACGGGGGGGGCAAGCGUUGUUCGGAAUUACUGGGCGUAAAGGGCUCGUAGGUGGCCAACUAAGUCAGACGUGAAAUCCCUCGGCUUAACCGGGGAACUGCGUCUGAUACUGGAUGGCUUGAGUUUGGGAGAGGGACGCGGAAUUCCAGGUGUAGCGGUGAAAUGCGUAGAUAUCUGGAGGAACACCUGAGGUGAAGACGGGUUGCUAGGCUGACACUGACGCUGAGGCGCGAAAGCCAGGGGAGCAAACGGG
rnacentral:rRNA from 1 species